rnacentral:rRNA from 1 species
UACGGAGGAUGCAAGCGUUAUCCGGAUUUAUUGGGUUUAAAGGGUGCGCAGGUUGUUUGAUAAGUCAGUGGUGAAAGUCUGUCGCUUAACGGUAGGAUUGCCAUUGAUACUGUUAGACUUGAAUAUGGAUGAGGUAGGCGGAAUGUGUAGUGCAGCGGUGAAAUGCAUAGAUAUUACACAGAACACCGAUUGCGAAGGCAGCUUACUAAUCCAUCAUUGACGCUGAGGCACGAAAGCGUGGGGAUCAAACA